AGAAUAACGGAGAGUCAAUAUGUCUCUUCGUUGAAAAGAGCUUGGAGGUAUAGCGAAAUGGGCGAGAUAUCGUUUCAGUCGUCACUUUAUCGAAUUGACGAUUCGAUUGUUGCUCGUCUAUAU
rfam:Morus notabilis contig13048, whole genome shotgun sequence.